rnacentral:rRNA from 1 species
GUGAGGAAUAUUGGUCAAUGGACGAGAGUCUGAACCAGCCAAGUCGCGUGAAGGAAGACGGUUCUAUGAAUUGUAAACUUCUUUUGUGCAGGAAUAAAGUGGGUUACGUGUAACCUUUUGUAUGUACUGUACGAAUAAGGAUCGGCUAACUCCGUGCCAGCAGCCGCGGUAAUACGGAGGAUCCGAGCGUUAUCCGGAUUUAUUGGGUUUAAAGGGUGCGUAGGUGGAUUGAUAAGUCAGCGGUGAAAGUUUGCAGCUUAACUGUAAAAUUGCCGUUGAAACUGUCGGGCUUGAGUGCAAAUGAGGUAGGCGGAAUGUGUUGUGUAGCGGUGAAAUGCUUAGAUAUAACACAGAACUCCGAUUGCGAAGGCAGCUUACUGGGAUGCAACUGACACUGAUGCACGAAAGCGUGGGUAUCAAACAGGAUUAGAAACCCGAGUAGUCC